rnacentral:rRNA from 1 species
CGCGGCCUAUCAGCUUGUUGGUGGGGUAACGGCCUACCAAGGCAACGACGGGUAGCUGGCGUGAGAGCGUGGCCAGCCACACUGGGACUGAGAUACGGCCCAGACUCCUACGGGAGGCAGCAGUGGGGAAUCUUGCACAAUGGGCGAAAGCCUGAUGCAGCGACGCCGCGUGAGGGAUGAAGGCCCUAGGGUUGUAAACCUCUUUCAGCAGGGACGAAGCGAAAGUGACGGUACCUGCAGAAGAAGCACCGGCUAACUACGUGCCAGCAGCCGCGGUAAUACGUAGGGUGCGAGCGUUGUCCGGAAUUAUUGGGCGUAAAGAGCUCGUAGGCGGCUUGUCGCGUCGGAUGUGAAAGCCCGGGGCUUAACCCCGGGUCUGCAUUCGAUACGGGCAGGCUAGAGUUCGGUAGGGGAGAUCGGAAUUCCUGGUGUAGCGGUGAAAUGCGCAGAUAUCAGGAGGAGCACCGGUGGCGAAGGCGGGUCUCUGGGCCUGACCUGACGCUGAGGAGCGAAAGCGUGGGUAGCGAACAGGAUUAGAUACCCUGGUAGUCCAUGCUGUAAACGUUGGGCGCUAGGUGUGGGGACUUUCCACGGUUUCCGUGCCGUAGCUAACGCAUUAAGCGCCCCGCCUGGGGAGUACGG